CCUACGGGUGGCAGCAGUGAGGAAUAUUGGUCAAUGGGCGAGAGCCUGAACCAGCCAAGUCGCGUGAAGGAUGACGGCCCUACGGGUUGUAAACUUCUUUUGUCAGGGAGCAAUUGGGUCCACGCGUGGGCUUAGCGAGAGUACCUGAAGAAAAAGCAUCGGCUAACUCGGUGCCAGCAGCCGCGGUAAUACGGGGGAUGCGAGCGUUAUCCGGUUUUUUUGGGUUUAAAGGGUGCGUAGGGGGAAUUUCAAGUCGGCGGUAAAAAUUCGGGGCCAAACCCCGUCGUGCCGUUGAAACUGGUGUUCUUGAGUGGGCGAGAAGUAGGCGGAAUGCGUGGUGUAGCGGUGAAAUGCAUAGAUAUCACGCAGAACUCCGAUUGCGAAGGCAGCAUACCG
rnacentral:rRNA from 1 species